rnacentral:tRNA from 1 species
GCCCAGAUAGCUCAGGGGUAGAGCACAUCCUUGGUAAGGAUGAGGUCGGCGGUUCAAUUCCGCUUCUGGGCUCCA